CUUUGUUUGUGUGCAUGCAUAAAGUUGAAAGGUCAAGUACCAUUAAAAAAAAAAAAAAAGUGAGUCUCAGGACCCCUAUUAAAUCCCCUCAAUUUCGAGUGCCACAGACAAACAGGGGUAAGAAUAACCUAUUGCACAACAAAACUGUCUGUGGAAAUCUGCAUAUAAUGAAUUUGUGUUCACUUGCUUUUACUGGUGUCUGUUAUGUUAGAAAUAUAGAGACAUUUAUGUGUAUCUCUUAUUAACAGCUUAUUACACAGACAAGUCC